rnacentral:tRNA from 1 species
UUUAAUAUGGCAGAUUAGUGUAUUGAAUUUAAGAUUCAAACAAGAAACUUUGUUUCUUUUAAAA